UAUGCAUUUUUCCGUCAAAAACGAAAGGCGACUCGGAGAGCAAGUGCCUCUUUCCCAUACUUGAGUAACGUGACCAAGAGAAGCCAUGUACCCCAUAACUACAGAACCUUUAGCAGCCCUUGCACGCUCAUCCACAUAAUCAGGAUCAAUCCAAUAUUCAUCCGUAUUGGGAUUAAAUAAUACACUCGAGCCCGUCACCAAAUCUAUGCAGUCGAUGUUAGCAUCAGCUAUUGCACUUGAUGCGCAACUUAUAGCAGCAGCCAAUGUUGCUAAUGCACCGUCACUUUCAAUCACUUGAAUAUAAACGUCUAUAGAACUUUUCGGAUACAAAUGCAGUAAUAUACUUGGAGAAAUUGCUGCUUCAAUCAUUUGGGAAUAGCUUUUUUCUUCGACGGUUUGUACAUGUCCCUGACGAACAGAAGUAGAAAAUGGGGAUAAUCUAAAUUCACAAUUCAACUUUGCUGAUGAACGAAAAGCAAAAGUCUUACUAGGUCGAGGACCAGAGACUGUGCAUGCAAUUUUUAUUUUUUCUGAUUCAAAAUAACUGCUACCGACAGCUUUAGUAGCCCACCCUAAUUUUAGAUCUAAUUGUCAGUGAAAAUGUUAAUAAUCGGUAUCUUACAUAUUUUUCGACAUCUGUCAACAUCACGAGUCCGCGUGAAAACAGGUUGUUCUGGCUCUUCAAAAUAAGGGGGAACGGAUACACUCGGUCCAUACACUCUCUUUCUAUCUGACAUCGAUUUAUAGAGUAUUUGUUUUAACCUUGAUGUACCGUUAAGAAAACAAUACAGAAGCAGCCUGGAUUUUCAGUG